rnacentral:rRNA from 1 species
AUUGAACGCUGGCGGCAUGCCUUACACAUGCAAGUCGAACGGCAGCAUGGAGAGCUUGCUCUCUGAUGGCGAGUGGCGAACGGGUGAGUAAUGCAUCGGAACGUACCGUGUAAUGGGGGAUAACGUAGCGAAAGUUACGCUAAUACCGCAUACGACCUGAGGGUGAAAGCAGGGGAUCGCAAGACCUUGCGUUAUACGAGCGGCCGAUGUCAGAUUAGCUAGUUGGUGAGGUAAAGGCUCACCAAGGCGACGAUCUGUAGCGGGUCUGAGAGGAUGAUCCGCCACUGGGACUGAGACACGGCCCAGACUCCUACGGGAGGCAGCAGUGGGGAAUUUUGGACAAUGGGGGCAACCCUGAUCCAGCCAUGCCGCGUGAGUGAAGAAGGCCUUCGGGUUGUAAAGCUCUUUCGGCCGAGAAGAAAUCGCACAGGCUAAUACUCUGUGUGGAUGACGGUACCGGCAUAAGAAGCACCGGCUAACUACGUGCCAGCCGCCGCAGUAA